GACGAACGCUGGCGGCGUGCCUAACACAUGCAAGUCGAGCGGGGUUGAAGCGAGAGGUAACUCGAACUUCUACCUAGCGGCGGACGGGUGAGUAACGCGUGGGCAACCUGCCUCAAGGUCUGGGAUAACAGCCCGAAAGGGCUGCUAAUACCGGGUAUGCUUGUGGCCUCGCAUGGGGCUACGAGCAAAGGGGAAACCCGCCUUGAGAUGGGCCCGCGUCCCAUCAGCUAGUUGGUGAGGUAACAGCUCACCAAGGCGACGACGGGUAGCCGGCCUGAGAGGGUGACCGGCCACACUGGGACUGAGACACGGCCCAGACUCCUACGGGGGGCAGCAGUGGGGGAUCUUGCACAAUGGGCGAAAGCCUGAUGCAGCGACGCCGCGUGAGCGAAGAAGGCCUUCGGUUGUAAGCUCUGUCUGGAGGACGAAGGAAGUGACGGUACCUCCGGAGGAAGCCACGGCUAACUACGUGCCAGCAGCCGCGGUAAACCUGUAGUCGU
rnacentral:rRNA from 1 species